CAAUAGCGUAUACUAAUGUUGUUGCAGUUAAAAAGCUCGUAGUUGGAUUUCUGGCUGUUUGUGCGCGUCGCCCAGGUGGAAUGCCAUUGUGCUUUCAUCGUGCGUGCUGAUGCGCACCAGCCAUCCUUCUGGUAUAUGUUUCUUCGGAUUCAUAUAUUCCAGAUCUAUUACUUUGAAGAAAUUAGAGUGUUCAAGGCAGGCAAUCGCUGUUGAAUACAUUAGCAUGGAAUAAUAAUAUAGGACUUGUGUUCUAUUUUGUUGGUUUCUAGGACUGCAAGUAAUGAUUGAUAGGGACAGUUGGGGGUGCUCGUAUUCCGUGGCCAGUGGUGAAAUACGAUGAUUCACGGAAGACGAACUAAUGCGAAAGCAUUCACCAAGGAUGUCUUCUUUAA
rnacentral:rRNA from 1 species